rnacentral:rRNA from 1 species
UACGUAGGGUGCGAGCGUUGUCCGGAAUUACUGGGCGUAAAGAGCUCGUAGGCGGUUUGUCGCGUCGUCCGUGAAAACUUGGGGCUCAACCCCAAGCUUGCGGGCGAUACGGGCAGACUUGAGUACUGCAGGGGAGACUGGAAUUCCUGGUGUAGCGGUGAAAUGCGCAGAUAUCAGGAGGAACACCGGUGGCGGGCGAGGCGGUCUGCUAGGCGAGUACUGACGGCUGAGGAAGCG